GGGUUAAGUCCCGUAACGAGCGCAACCCUUGUCCUUAGUUACCAGCACGGUUAUGGUGGGCACUCUAAGGAGACUGCCGGUGGACAAACCGGAGGAAGUGGGGAUGACGUCAAGUCAUCAUGGCCCUUACGGCCUGGGCUACACACGUGCUACAAUGGUCGGUACAAAGGGUUGCCAAGCCGCGAGGUGGAGCUAAUCCCAUAAAACCGAUCGUAGUCCGGAUCGCAGUCUGCAACUCGACUGCGUGAAGUCGGAAUCGCUAGUAAUCGUGAAAUCAGAAUGUCACGGUGAAUACGUUCCCGGGCCUU
rnacentral:rRNA from 1 species